CCUACGGGUGGCUGCAGUGGGGAAUUUUGGACAAUGGGCGCAAGCCUGAUCCAGCAAUGCCGCGUGCAGGAUGAAGGCCUUCGGGUUGUAAACUGCUUUUGUACGGAACGAAAAGGCUUUCUCUAAUACGGGGAGCUGAUGACGGUACCGUAAGAAUAAGCACCGGCUAACUACGUGCCAGCAGCCGCGGUAAUACGUAGGGUGCGAGCGUUAAUCGGAAUUACUGGGCGUAAAGCGUGCGCAGGCGGUGAUGUAAGACAGAUGUGAAAUCCCCG
rnacentral:rRNA from 1 species